rnacentral:sRNA from 1 species
AAAAAGACAAUAAAAA